UUAUAAACCCAUUUGCAACAAAUGGGCUUCUUGCCAGGGGGAAGGGGAACCAGUGACCAUGUAUGAUUGGCCUCCAAAGCUGCAAAUUCCUUGGCCAUGGCCUCAUGCCAAGCAGGUAUAGAGGCAGCCUGCUUAUAAGAGGUAGGCUCAGCCUCUGUAGAGCUAACUAAACUGUGAAGACAAGUGGAAGAAGAACUGGGGCCAGAGAUAGAUGGAGGUAGAUUGCAGACAUACUGCUGCAAGUGAGCAGGAAGGGCAUGUGCCCUAGUGGAUCUUCUGGGAACAGAGGAGGAGGAAGAGUGCAGACAUACUGUUGAAGGUGAGCAGGAAGAACAUGUGUCCUAGAGGAUCUUCUGGGAGCAGAGGAGGUAGACACUGAAUGAUUCUGUGAUUGGGAAGAAGAAGGGGAAGAAGAGAGGAGGCUGGGUGAUGGAUGAAGAAGGAGUAGAUAGAAAGUCAUCAACUGGAGGAACCCAUGCGGAAGAAGGGGAAGGAGGAAAAGGAUUAUGGGAAGAGUGCCAUGGAGAAGCAAAAGGGAAGACAUCCUUAUGAAAAAUGACAUCCCUGGAGAUCAUAGUAAGUUUGGACUUCAAGUUAUACAGUUUGUA
rnacentral:lncRNA from 1 species